ACUCAAAGGAAUAGACGGGGGCCCGCACAAGCAGCGGAGCGUGUGGUUUAAUUCGUCGGUACGCGAAGAACCUUACCAAGGCUUGACAUGUACCGGAAAGCGGCGGAAACGUCGUCCUCCCGCAAGGGACCGGUAUGCAGGUGUUGCAUGGCUGUCGUCAGCUCGUGUCGUGAGAUGUUGGGUUAAGUCCCGCAACGAGCGCAACCCCCGUGGCAUGUUGUACCACUCAUGCCAGACUGCCGAGAGAAACUCGGAGGAAGGUGGGGAUGACGUCAAGUCAGCAUGGCCCUUACGCCUUGGGCUACACACACGCUACAAUGGCCGGUACAACGGGUUGCCAAACCGCGAGGUGGAGCCAAUCCCAUAAAGCCGGUCUCAGUUCGGAUUGCAGGCUGCAACUCGCCUGCAUGAAGCUGGAGUUGCUAGUAACCGCAGGUCAGCACACUGCGGUGAAUAUGUUCCCGGGCCUUGUACACACCGCCCGU
rnacentral:rRNA from 1 species